ensembl:ncRNA C25F6.29 ncRNA
GACUUUUGAAAUUUGGCACUUGUAGCUGUGCCUCUAAACUUUUUGUUGAUAUCUUAAACUUUAGUCACUUUUAUUUUUUUUUUUUGGCAUCUAAAAAAAUAUCACUCCUGAUCCCAUCAUUACAAAUUAAUUUUUUUUUAAGUGGCAAACAUUUAAGAGCACGCUAUUAUACAAUGUUUUUCACUUGAUUUAUUCCAACUUUGAUAAAUUUACUUUUUUUCCAAC